rnacentral:rRNA from 1 species
CGCAGGACUGAUGGGGUGCUCUGCUCCCUGAUGUUAGCGGCGGACGGGUGAGUAACACGUGGGUAACCUGCCUGUAAGACUGGGAUAACUCCGGGAAACCGGGGCUAAUACCGGAUGGUUGUCUGAACCGCAUGGUUCAGACAUAAAAGGUGGCUUCGGCUACCACUUACAGAUGGACCCGCGGCGCAUUAGCUAGUUGGUGAGGUAACGGCUCACCAAGGCGACGAUGCGUAGCCGACCUGAGAGGGUGAUCGGCCACACUGGGACUGAGACACGGCCCAGACUCCUACGGGAGGCAGCAGUAGGGAAUCUUCCGCAAUGGACGAAAGUCUGACGGAGCAACGCCGCGUGAGUGAUGAAGGUUUUCGGAUCGUAAAGCUCUGUUGUUAGGGAAGAACAAGUGCCGUUCAAAUAGGGCGGCACCUUGACGGUACCUAACCAGAAAGCCACGGCUAACUACGUGCCAGCAGCCGCGGUAAUACGUAGGUGGCAAGCGUUGUCCGGAAUUAUUGGGCGUAAAGGGCUCGCAGGCGGUUUCUUAAGUCUGAUGUGAAAGCCCCCGGCUCAACCGGGGAGGGUCAUUGGAAACUGGGGAACUUGAGUGCAGAAGAGGAGAGUGGAAUUCCACGUGUAGCGGUGAAAUGCGUAGAGAUGUGGAGGAACACCAGUGGCGAAGGCGACUCUCUGGUCUGUAACUGACGCUGAGGAGCGAAAGCGUGGGGAGCGAACAGGAUUAGAUACCCUGGUAGUCCACGCCGUAAACGAUGAGUGCUAAGUGUUAGGGGGUUUCCGCCCCUUAGUGCUGCAGCUAACGCAUUAAGCACUCCGCCUGGGGAGUACGGUCGCAAGACUGAAACUCAAAGGAAUUGACGGGGGCCCGCACAAGCGGUGGAGCAUGUGGUUUAAUUCGAAGCAACGCGAAGAACCUUACCAGGUCUUGACAUCCUCUGACAAUCCUAGAGAUAGGACGUCCCCUUCGGGGGCAAAAUGACAGGUGGUGCAUGGUUGUCGUCACCUCCUGUCCUGAGAUGUUGGGUUAAGUCCCGCAACGACCCCACCCUUGAUCUUAGUUGCCACCAUUAGUUGGGCCCUCUAAGGGGAC